UGUUGUUACAAACACUUUGACUUUUCUCUGUACGGAGAGGAACUGCUCCGGGACACUUUGGGGGCUUUUUUUGCGGGAUUUUCUGGGGCAGUUUUUGUCACUUUGGUGACGGGGCCGGUGACUUCUCUGGCUCUGGAACCGGAGCAUCUCUCCAGCCCGUGAUACCUCUACUCCAUUACGCGCGUAUCAGAGGCAGCCGUUGCGUAAACAUGCUUUAAGUGAGCGUUCGAAAGUGAAGAAGCGGCGCGGGACUUGAGUUUGCGCACCGCAUGAGUGCGACCAUGCAAAGGCAGCAGGAUAGAAAGCAUAUAAAUCUGAGGGUGCUGCUUCUCUGCCUCUUCCUCGCCGCCCUCGCCUCAUCAGUGCAGGCUGGUGGGAAGAAGCACAGUGGCCCAUGUGGGGGAAGAGACUGCAGCGGUGGUUGUAAAUGCUUUCCAGAGAAGGGUGCCAGGGUAAGUCCUGUUCUGUACAG